rnacentral:rRNA from 1 species
GAUGAACGCUAGCGGCAGGCUUAAUACAUGCAAGUCGUGGGGCAGCAUGAAUGUAGCAAUACAUUUGGUGGCGACCGGCAAACGGGUGCGGAACACGUACACAACCUUCCUAUAAGUGGGGAAUAGCCCAGAGAAAUUUGGAUUAAUACCCCGUAACAUAAUGAUGUGGCAUCACAUUAUUAUUAUAGCUUCGGCGCUUAUUGAUGGGUGUGCGGCUGAUUAGAUAGUUGGCGGGGUAACGGCCCACCAAGUCUACGAUCAGUAGCUGAUGUGAGAGCAUGAUCAGCCACGCGGGCACUGAGACACGGGCCCGACUCCUACGGGAGGCAGCAGUAAGGAAUAUUGGUCAAUGGACGCAAGUCUGAACCAGCCAUGCCGCGUGAAGGAUUAAGGUCCUCUGGAUUGUAAACUUCUUUUAUCUGGGACGAAAAAAGGCGAUUCUUCGUCACUUGACGGUACCAGAUGAAUAAGCACCGGCUAACUCCGUGCCAGCAGCCGCGGUAAGAC